GGGGACCAAGGAAGGGCCCUCCCCGCCUCCUCCUCAUUCCUCCCCUCCACCCCUCAGAUCUCCAAUCCUCCAAGGAGCUGACAGCUCGAAGAUCCGCGAGCCUGCGUCUCCUCCACCUGCACAACCUCAUUUCCCCAUCAUAACAACAACAACAAAGCAGAAGCCAGAGUGCCAGCAGUACUGACGGCCGAUUUGCGGUGGGUUUGCGGCAGUGUUGAGGCUAAGUGCUGCUGACAAAGAGAGAUGCCUCGAGGACUCUUCAAACGUCCAUCCUCACACGACAUGAAGCGGACAAGACCUGCAGCGUCUCUGAGAUUGGACGCCAGUCUAAGCAUAUGUUACACAGGGACAAAGCAACAGAGAGAAACAAGGGAACAAGACAGAUAGGGAGAAGCAAAGGGGUUAAUGCAAAGCAUGAUAAGAGAGACAAGCAGACAGGCAGGCAGACAGACACACAGACAGACAGACAGAGAAGUGAGUGAGAGAGAAAUAAGAAACAGGGAGGUGGAGGGGGGAGUGGAUGUUGAAAGGGACAUAGAGGCUGUGCAUGAAAGGAAGGAGGGAACAAGGAGGGGUGAGGGGGUGAAGGAAAGGAGGGGUGAAGAGAAGGGAGGAAGUUUGAAGUAAAACUGUUGGGACGUGUGUGACAUUAGGACAUUGGGGCCCUGGCAGGAGUUGUGUCAUUGGUCCAUAUGACUUGUGUGUUGCCUGGGUGAAGUAACGCGUUGCAACAGUGGUGGAAUGGUCACUGUAUGUCACUGCCCUUUCCAUCAGAAGCCCUGUAAUGGCAUGUCAAAACAUUUAGAUGGGCGGCCUCAUAAAAUGUUGCUGAUGACUAAAUGUCCUUUGGCUGACAGAAAUUGCAGUUUUGCUCAAGAAUCAAUAUUUUAAAUAUAAAAUUAAUUCAUCAGGAAAAAGAGUGAAAUUGACGCUCCAGAAGUAUCCCUCUGAAAAAGCUAGAAAUCUUGUCUCUCCAGAGCCUUCAUGAUGGAGGCUCAUGUGUACUUGGUUGCUGUGGGCUGAUGAGACUGAGCAGAGUCCUUCGGCCAUAUAAACAAAACCCCUCGGCAGAGAAAAUGCCAGGGUACCCCAGACCCCCCUACCAAGAAAUCUGACUUGACAAGAAGCAGACACAAGUUCAAGCCUUGGCCUUCAGGCCUCACUGCAUUCUUCACUAUUCCACAGAACAUAAAGUGGUGCAGAAAUGUUGACAUUUUUCCUGUAUUGCACCACAAAUUAGUCACACAAAUAAAAAAAAGGUCAUCUCAAAUUAAAUAUGAAAUUGCAUAAAUGUGUUUAAUUAACUGUAUCUCAGACAAAUUACUUUCAUAUGGAAAUAUUUAACAUUACCAUUUGAGUUUUGUACAUAACAUAUUACCACGCAGGUUAUAUUUACUAACAGAAUUUCAUUAGUUUAUUAUUAUUGCCCGGAAUUGUAAAUGUAUCUGCUAUAAAUGUAAUAUCCAGGAGACUAGACUGGUUAAUUCUAAUACAACAUAACACCACUAUAAACUAGAAAAUCCACCUGACAACACUUCAGUACGUUUAAAGGGGCACUUCACAGAUUCUACACAUGAAGUUCAGUCACUCAUCAUCGGGACAACUACUCUGCCUGUAAAAACAAAGGUUUAAUUUGUGAUGUGGCUCUGGAGAGAGCUCUCUAAAGUCUGAGAAAAUAACCCUGAUGAUGUCAUCACAGUCAUCUCAGGCUGAACUUGGAGACUAAAAAUGUAGAAACAACAGAAAACUAGCGUUAUAAACUAGGGGUACAGAUUUUGAAAUACUUGGGCAUUUACCAUGCAAGUAGGGAAAAUCUAAUAAAAGAUUACUGCUGUAGCCAGUGUUUUUGGAGCUUUGUCAACACUGGGGGCUAAAAGUCACGACAUCUCAGCUUCUUUUUGGAUUCUGACAGUUUUUUAAACCAGCUUUGUACUGUUUGUGUAAAUAAUACUUACUUUUUAAUUGUUUUACCAUAACCACAGUCUCCAACCCUAACCAAGUGAGUUUUUUUUUUUUUUGCCUAACCUUAACAUACCUUAACUUUAGUUGCUACUAGCAGAUAAUAUAGGAAUGUAAAUAGAAUUGUAUGCCUUAUUACCAACCUUAUUCCCUAAAUAGUGAAAAAACAUCUUUUCAUUAGUGUACUGUGGUAGUUUUGCAAGUUAAUUACCAUUCAGGGACAGAUAGAGAUUCUGUUAUUGUUUUACUAAUUGUCUGUGCUUAUGUGCUUUGUAUGUUAUCCUGUAUGUCCUUUAUGUCUCAUAUGGUUAUGACAUAUAGGAGAAAUCAGUAUGGCUAUUGUGUUACAACUAUUUGUGCUUUUAUCUGUGUUUAUGUGAAUUUGUCUAUGUUUAUGUGCUCUUUGCAUUUGUGAGUUUCUGGGUUUAUGUGAUUUUAUCUGUGCUUAUGUGCUUUUCUUUUAAUGUUUCUGACAUGCAAUCAUCCUGCCAGGGACUGCAGAUGAAAAUUAGCCUGUAUGGCUAAAUCUGGCAAUUUUACACAGUGAGUUAAUUAAUUUGCAUUGUCACUUUUUAAAUAAAUAAACUUCAAACUUUA